rnacentral:rRNA from 1 species
UACGUAGGGUGCGAGCGUUAAUCGGAAUUACUGGGCGUAAAGCGUGCGUAGGCGGCCAACUAAGUCGGAUGUGAAAUCCCCAGGCUCAACUUGGGAACUGCAUCCGAUACUGGAUGGCUUGAAUCCGGGAGAGGGAUGCAGAAUUCCAGGUGUAGCGGUGAAAUGCGUAGAUAUCUGGAGGAAUACCGGUGGCGAAGGCGGCAUCCUGGACCGGCAUUGACGCUGAUGAGCGAAAGCUAGGGGAGCAAACGGG